rnacentral:lncRNA from 12 species
CACGGGGCAGCGCUGAAGCCGAGCUCACGCAGCGACCGUGGUGACGGGGCGGCCGAGGCUGCGCUGAGCGUGCGGCGCCCGCGGGUUCUCAGCUGGGGACACGCAGGCCUCCUCCGUGAGGUUCUGCGAAGCUGGUUACUCGCCUGAUGAAAAUGCGCAAAGCACGAGCCGUAGCGGAUUCGCGGGGAAGCAGAAGCUCGCUGUGCGGGGCUCGCGGCCCCCUCCCCAUAGGGGGGAUUGUGAGCUCUCCCAAGCCCUUGUUAGUUUGUGCUGCCUUCCUCCUUCACAGGAGGGGGUUUCCGUGCUCCUUGAGGCGCCCUCGGCAGACCCUAAGUGGAUUUCUCCUCUGGGAUACAGUGAAAACGGCAGAGGAUGCGGACGUACAGAGGCGAGGAGUAGGGAUCAUGCAGGGAAGGUUCCUCUGGCUUCCAAGCAGAGCCCCCGCCCCCCGACGCUGCAAGGUUGCCAUGGUAACAGAUGGGCCACCUCAGAGCUCCGUGCAGACGAGGCGGCCGCUCCCAGGACCCCCGAGAAGCCCCACGCCGUGUCCCCCGCCGGCCCGGGGGCAGCGGGACACCCAGCAGGACGCUGCCAGCUGGAACCAUGACUGUCUAUGCAGCAACCUCUACAUGGACCUACGGCUGGGGAAUCUGUCGAGCAGAGCCCUUUAAUAGAUGCCCGUGGACAGUGGCAGCGGCGCGGGUCCUGACUUGGAGCGGUGGGCAGCACGUGAGGAGCGGUCAAUCAGCCACGAGUAAGGAAAGUGGACGGGUAGGGCCUCCCGACGGGCCUCUGCCAUCAGUCUGUGGGACGGGUGCCCAGGUCGAGGACAGGGACCCCGCUCGUCCGCCCCUGGAGCGCCCCCGGAGCUCAGCACACCUGCUCUGCAGCCGGGAGAGAUGUGGGCCUGAUGCGGGGCGUCGAUCACGCCGGGGUCCAUGCCCGAGAAGCGUCCAGAGCCCUGGUGCCUUUGAGGUCGGAGGCCAGGAGCGUGUUCACGGUGAGGAAUAGGAAUGAUCGCUUCCAAAAAUCGCCAAAACUCCCAAAUACCAGCAUGACAGGUGGAAAGAGAUUCCACCUAAGGAUUUUCAGACAUCCAGGCUGUUGCAGUUUCUGCAUAAAUAAAGAAUUCUAUUGAGUGACUCCCGGGGCUCGU